rfam:Gasterosteus aculeatus cont1.016438, whole genome shotgun sequence.
GACGAGGUGGCCGAGUGGUUAAGAUGAUGGACUGCUAAACCAUUGUGCUCUGCACGCAUGGGUUCGAAUCCCAUUCUCGUCG